rnacentral:misc_RNA from 1 species
UAGAUACCUCUUUUCUAGUCUGUCCUCAUGCAGGAAGAAUACAUGUAACAAAUUUAGGAUAUGAGAUAACUUAAAAUCAAGAGAACAAAAAAUUCAGCUAUUAUGUGAACAGAAAUGUUUGAAAUAUUUUCAUAUCAGAAUGAAAUAUUCUAAUUUAUGCACAACUUAUUUUUCAUGAUUUCCUAUAGAUAUACAGCUUUGUUUCAACAAUGAGAAUGACACACACACACACACACACA